rnacentral:rRNA from 1 species
UACGUAGGGGGCUAGCGUUGUCCGGAAUCAUUGGGCGUAAAGCGCGUGUAGGCGGCCUGUUGCGUCCGCUGCGAAAGCCCGGGGCUUAACCCCGGGUCGGCAGUGGAUACGGGCAGGCUAGAGGUAGGUAGGGGAGAAUGGAAUUCCCGGUGUAGCGGUGAAAUGCGCAGAUAUCGGGAGGAACACCGGUGGCGAAGGCGGUUAGCUGGGCAGUUGCUGACACUGAGGCGCGACGAGCGUGGGGAGCAAACAGGG